rnacentral:rRNA from 1 species
AACGAACGCUGGCGGCAGGCUUAACACAUGCAAGUCGAGCGGGCAUAGCAAUAUGUCAGCGGCAGACGGGUGAGUAACGCGUGGGAAUCUACCCAACCCUACGGAAUAACGCAUGGAAACGUGUGCUAAUACCGUAUACGCCCUAACGGGGAAAGAUUUAUCGGGGAUGGAUGAGCCCGCAUUGGAUUAGCUAGUUGGUGGGGUAAAGGCCUACCAAGGCGACGAUCCAUAGCUGGUCUGAGAGGAUGAUCAGCCACAUUGGGACUGAGACACGGCCCAAACUCCUACGGGAGGCAGCAGUGGGGAAUAUUGGACAAUGGGCGCAAGCCUGAUCCAGCCAUGCCGCGUGAGUGAUGAAGGCCCUAGGGUUGUAAAGCUCUUUUACCCGGGAAGAUAAUGACGGUACCGGGAGAAUAAGCCCCGGCUAACUUCGUGCCAGCCGCCGCUGUAAGAC